CCCCGAUGCGGGGCUCGAACCCUCGAACUGCGAGAUUACGACCUGAGCUGAAGUCAGACGCUCAAUCGACUGAGCCACCCAGACGCCCCAGUGUGAUGUUUUUAAAAGUCGAAAUGCCCAAACGUCCAUAGGGAACGAAGCGUCGCGAGCGUAAAUGAAGGCUGCAUCAGCGCGAGGGACUCUCCCUUCGCCUCAGGCUUCGGGAUGGCUCGGCCCAGCACUGGAAAAUGUGCUGCCUUCUGCUGUCUUAUGCUUCAGUAUUCUUCCCGCCUGCAGUUUGCAGCGCAAUCCAGGGGUGGUUUCUCCCGUGGAAGGCUGAAACAGGAAGAAUGAGAACAGAGACAGGACAGGUAUUGCGUCUCGUAGAAUAUAUUGGGCCCCACAUGAUUUCUUCCCUUUCACUGGUUCCAUUCCCCUAAAGCCUCAUAAAGCACAACCUGUGCGCCUUGCUGUCUCCAUCACAGGAGUGGCACCAGGUAGACACGAUGUCCUCGCGGUGACCGUGGAUGCGCCGUAGUGUGACAUGUGAAACAUAGUCGCUCGGCUGUGUGGCAGCCUCUCGCCUGUGGUCUCGGGGCUGCAGGAGACGCUGAGUGUCUGCGGAUGAUACUAAGAAGACUUGUGAGUCAACAGAGGCCCCACGGCAGCCAUACAGUUAACACAAAGCUGUGACCGUCCGGUAGUGUUACAUUCGGCACAACCGCCUGAGCCACUAAGUAGAGUCCAGCGUUGCCUCUUGAGAUGAUGCCGAUUGACAUGUACGGACACACUGCUGGAAGAUCACUUCAGGGCUGAUGUGAAAAUGGCCAAGAGAGAUUUCAAAGAAAUACCAUUGAAAGAAAGGGCAUGUUCGUGGAGAGGAAAAUGCGGGUCCUCUCGUCCUGCUGGGCGCUGAGUAUCCCAGAGCCAUUUUGUGGUUGGCUGGGCAAGUUUUCCUGAAAGAUCAAAGAGAGGACAGCUCAACCCUUAGUAGCUCCCGGAAUUUUCCUCGGAGUCGACUUUCUUCUUAAUCUUUGGGAAUCACGGAUACAGAAUUCAGUGUGCUUGCAUAAAAUUUGCGUGUCGUUUUCCCUGUCAACGGGUGUGAGGACAGACGUCACCGGGCAGCGAAAUCCACAGACUCCCUGGUUUCGCUGACCCCGUGUGCAUCUGCGAGUCCCUGCCGUGUGAGUCAGCUGGGCCUUUUUGGUUUUUAACAACUGGCCAAAGGUCAUAGCUAGGUGGGACUCUCCUGGGGGCCAGCUCAGAGGCAUUGCUGUGCUGCUCAGAGAUGACAAAAAAUUCAAGGUGCCAGGAAGCCAAGAAGACACCCCCUCUCCCCACCUCCUUCUGUGUAGCCCCAGACCCUGCUCUGCCAAGUGUGCUCUGGGACCAGCAACGUUAGCAACUCCCGGGAGCCUGCAAGACUUGUAGACUCUCAGACCCCACUCCAGACCUCCUGAGGCACACUCUCCGUUUGUGACUAGACCCCUGAUGAUUCCGAUACACGCAAGAGUUCGAGAACAUAGCACCCACGAGCCUGGGCUUUCAAAGCCGUCCUCGUGACCAGGAGGAGAUACUGGAUACAUACGCGAAGCAGAGAACAUUUCAUGGAUUGUGCUGUCCCUCCCUUUCUCUUUCGGGAAGGACUUGUUGGCUAAGAACACCUGCUGGUCUGGACUUCUUCCUUCUCUCCGUGCCCACUGCUCGGAUAAGAAGCUUCUCUAGCCUCCUGCUAGUGAUUCAUCAUCCAGGAGUGAUUGAAGAGAUCACAGAUGGUAGGAGGAGCAGUUGUGUGCUGCUAACCAUAGAGGUCUCCCCUGUCUACAGAAACCUAAUUGAACAGUUUUGUUUCCUGUUCCCGUAUCAAAGAUGACUGUAUCAUCCUUCCACGUGACAGGACGUGCAAGUAGGAAAUGUUCAGCAUGUUAUUUGCAUCACCUCAUGGAGUUCCUGUUCAUGGUGCAGACUUUGUGAACAAAUCCCACAGGACCCUCAAUCUGUCCAGGUGUCAGGCCGACUGCGGUGAUGAAGAAUGGUAUUGCAGGUCCCGUCUGAAGAUAGCAAGCCCUCACACUGAUGAAAAAUCUCCAUAGACAUUCUAUCGUUUUAUUUCAAAGCAGGGGAGACGAAUCUGUGUGUAGCAGAGAAACAUUGAUUUUAAUGUCCAGUUUCAAGAGAUUGUCAAUUAACAAAUAGAAACGUUUGUUUUGAAAGCUGUAAGUCACAGUUUUCCUCUGCACAUGGGACAAGUCCCUUGCGUGUGACAAUACCCUGAUGCUGUGAUAGUAGGUCUCAGUCCAUUUAUGCUGCCAGAACCAAAUGCCACGGACUGGGUGGUGCCUACACCACAGAAGUUCAUUGCUCACAGCUCUGGAGGCUGGAAGGUCCACUGUCAGGACAUCAGCACGGCUGGGUUCUGGCGAAGACCCUCCUCCGGGCUGCAGGCUGCAGACUCCUUGCCAUGUCCUCCCGCGGUGGAAGGGACACGCUAGCUCGCUGGGGUUGCUGCAAAAAGGCAGAACCUUCAUGAUCUAACCACACCCCCCCAGAGCCCCAUCACCUUUGGGGUUAGAAUUCCCACAGAAGAGUUUUGGGGAGAUGCGAAUAUUCGGACCCUAGCAAGGUGUGAGGGUGAACAAGAGCCAGAGGGGGUGACUCGGCCCAUCAUUGUGUAAGAGGAACCAUUGCACAAGCCCUAGGUUCACAGCCUUGAAGGCCUGCAGGGUGCCACACAGGACCUUGGUGAGAGAGAAGGUCCGUGUCAUUGAGUCUGCUCCCAAUGAGAAGGCUGAUCCUAUGAGGUCCUAAUAGCAAUGAAAAAAAAAAAAAAAAAAUUCUAGAGGCUAAUUGACUCCUAUGAGUUCGAGUUUCCUUCUACCCCAGAAGUAGGCAGACUUUUUCUCUAAAGGGUCAGAUGGAAAAUAUUUUAGUCUUUGUGGGUCAUUUAGUACCUUUUGCGACAACUCGACUCUCCCAUUAGAGCGCAAAAGCCAAAAAGUGAAUGAACGUGACUCUGUUUCAACGGAACAGAGAUCAUACCCUAAACGUAUUUUUUCUAGCCUUUCUUAUGCCUGUACUUCUGGGCACUGGGAUUUGAACUGCACGGAAUUUGCCUACGUCAAGAAAUACUGUUCUUCUUGUGAUUUCUUAAAAUUGCUAACCACUCUUAGCUCAUGAGGCAUACCAAAGGUGUGUCAACCUUGGCUGAAACCGUGCUCCUCACCGUGUGGUCCACAGACCUGUGGCUUCACCCGGAGGCUCAUCAGGAAUGCUGAUUCUCAGGCUCUGUUGCAAACACACUCUGUCAGAGCUAGAAGACUAAAUAUCAGGAAGGCAGGGACCUCGUCUGCUCUAGAUGUAGACCCAACACAGUGCCUUACACACAGUAGCUUCUCAGACAAAUAUUUAUUAAAAGAAUGCCUCCAGGAGUUUGUUCAGGCUCCCCCAUUAUAAACAACUAAAUCUUCUGGGAGUACGUGCUCGAAGGGUUAAAACGAACUUCUGUCAUCAGUCAGAAGUUUUUGCUUGUUGAAGGGCCAGAAAUACGUGUCCCCCUUAGGCUCAUGGUAUAUCCUUCUCCAGGAGGACUUAACCAUGAUGAUUUUUGCCACAUACACAACAGAAGAGUAAACUUAUGUGAACUAAGAGGCUGGAGGUUCUGCAAAAUUAAUACACUGGAUACAAAUCAAGAUGCAAAUAGAUUUUGUGGGUUAUGUUGAAACCGUGGUAAACAUGACGCAGAAGACAGGUGAGAAAAAAAUACGUGUAGAGUAUGAUCUCUUGAACCAAGCACGGAGAGAGAAGAGAUCUCCCCAGGGAAGUCUAAAAAAUCUCUAAGCCUCCUCACCCAGCCUCCCGGGUACUGACUGUUCUUGUUCUGACACAGCUCUUGGGGAGAAUACCCUUCCUUGGGGAAAAGAAGGCUUUUGAGGAACAACACAGAAGAGUGAUGAAGUGUCAUCAAGGCUGGCUUCGUCGGUUGGGAUCUGAGUCAGAAAGGAAAGGCAAGUGGGUAUGUACGAGGGACCCCUGGGAGAGGAGGCUCACUUGUCACGCACACAGUGACACUAACUAAACAUUCCAAGGAGGAAACACGGACAAUUGUGUCUUGUUCUGCUACGAAAUUGCAUUUCCCUGUCAAGAAUAUUAGAUCUCCUGCAAGUUAAUAAAAAUCACAAUAUCAUUAAUUUUAGAGCUGCGGUGUAAUUACAAAUCAUUAGUUCAUCUGCGUCAUAUAUUCUAAGGCCUGGAAAGGUUCAAGAAUGUAUUUAAGCAGCCAGCGCUACAGGUGACGGCCUCCUAGCCUCGUUCCUUGCAUGGAAAGAAUGCUUUCUAAUCAAUAUUCACAGACAAACUUUCAGUAUUUAUGAUAUUAUUAAUUCAGGUUAUAAUGAAUUGCUUCAGACUUCUUAGAUAAAAAGACGUAAUAUCGGGAUUCAGUUUGGAGGCAGUAUACAUUAAGAGGUCAAAGGUUGUCCAUAGGAGUUGUCGUUGUUUUUUUUUUUUUUUUAACAUUUAUUUAUUUUUGAGAGACAGAGCAUGAGCAAGGGAGGGGGAGAGAGAGAGAGGGAGACACAGAA